rnacentral:snRNA from 1 species
ACGCCGACAACAGGGCAGAGAAGGCGAAGCAAGCCGCAGGGGGCUACGGAAAGGCGGCG